ACUUGGACAGGACUUAGUUACUGAACAACAACAACAAUGGUAAGAAUGUGGGCCUGUGAGAACAGUGGAACUUGAGCCACAGAACCAACGCAUCCAGACUUUUGCACCAAGGGACCGUCAAACUUCAGCAGGGCUUCUGGCAACAUGAGGCCAUGUCUGCAGGAUGACCCCUCAGAUGCCAGCUUGAAAAAGCUCAAUGAUGCCAGGACCUGAAGCCAUCCCUUUGAAUGUGGUCCCCAGCAAGGAUGGGGCCACUGUCUCCAAGUCUCUGUUGGGUAUAGAAGUCCAGCUUCCAAUCUUACCAGCUGGCCCACCCCUGCCCAUGUCACUGUGUUGGUGAGCACAGCGGAGCUGGGCUGAGUAUACUGGUCUUCGGGGAUCAUCUUCACAUAUCUAUUGCAUCCUUUUGUGUUUUCCGAGUAUCCAUGUCUUUAUCUAGAACCGUUUCCUGACUGGCGCUGUUGGGACUUGGGGUGGGCUACUCCCAAAUAUAUUACAAUGGAACAUUGCUUGUUUUGAAUUAAAGUUAGUUAAGAAAUGGUCAAGGCAA